AUUGAACGCUGGCGGCAGGCCUAACACAUGCAAGUCGAGCGAGCGGCGGACGGGUGAGUACUGCCUGGGAAUUGCCCAGUCGAGGGGGAUAACAGUUGGAAACGACUGCUAAUACCGCAUACGAUUGGAUUGCCCAGGUGGGAUUAGCUAGUUGGUGAGGUAAUGACUCACCAAGGCGACGAGCCCUACCUGGUCUGAGAGGAUGAUCAGCCACACUGGAACUGAGACACGGUCAAGACUCCUAAGGGAGGCAGCAGUGGGGAAUAUUGUACAAUGGGUGAAAUCCUGAUGAAGCCAUGCCGCGUGUGUGAAGAAGGCGUUCGGGUUGUAAAGCACUUUCAGCGAGGAGGCGUUACUCGCAGAAGAAGCACCGGCUAACGCCGUGCGAGCAGCCGCGGUAAUUC
rnacentral:rRNA from 1 species